GAAUGGUCACAACAUUAUGAUAAAUAUUAAGACAAAUAUAUUAGACGGUAUGAAUACUCAGUUCAUGAUCAAUUGGCUUCUCAAUUAUUUGAUUCCCAAUGUCGUUUACAUUCAUUUGCGUUGGUAUAAGAAUGAUACAAUAAAUAUAUGAAAAUACCAAUAUUGGUAGUUAGUUCUAAGAUCACAUCCUACUUUAUUUCCUUUUAAAUGAGUAUACAAAUGAUAUGUAAAGACCUUAGAAAAUAAAAAUAUAUGUAAAUAUAAAGCUGCCAAAAUCAUAAUUAAAAGCAUGGUCA
rnacentral:lncRNA from 1 species